rnacentral:tRNA from 2 species
AUUCUUCUAGUAUAAAUAGUACAUUUAACUUCCAAUUAAAAAGUUUGAUUUAUAAUCAAGAAAAAUA